rnacentral:rRNA from 1 species
UAGAUGCGAGAGUAGAGCAUAUCAAUAAGCGGAGGAAAAGAAACUAACAAGGAUUCCCCUUAGUAACGGCGAGUGAAGCGGGAAGAGCUCAAAUUUGAAAUCUUCAAGGUUCUACCUUGACGAAUUGUAGUUUAUAGAAGUGUUUUCUGUUAGUAGAGUUGGCAAAAGUUCUUUGGAAUAGGACAUCAUAGAGGGUGAGAAUCCCGUAUUUGGUCAUUCUUUCUAGCUUUGUGAUACACUUUCAACGAGUCGGAUUGUUUGGGAAUGCAGUCCAAAAUGGGUGGUAAAUUUCAUCUAAAGCUAAAUAUUGGCGAGAGACCGAUAGCGAACAAGUACCGUGAGGGAAAGAUGAAAAGAACUUUGAAAAGAGAGUUAAACAGUACGUGAAAUUGUCAAAAGGGAAGCGUUUGACACCAGUGUUGUUUUUCCGAAAAUCAAUUACGAAUGUUUUAUUUUUGAGAAGUUAUGACUUCAUCAGGCUUGCUUCUCUCUUUACUGAACUUUCUUAAUGCACUUUUCGGUUAACAAGUCAACAUCAAUUUCUUUUGUUGUAAAAGGGUAUGAGGAAGGUGGCUUUCUUUUCGGAGAAAGUGUUUAUAGCCUUUGUACCUCUGCAAUCGGAGAGAUUGAGGUCUGCAGCGUAGAUCCUUCGGGGUUAGAUACAUUUGUGCUAAGUUAUAGCCUUUCAUAGACAACUUGUUGACUAUGAUCAGUCAUGUAGCUUACUCGCUUAUGCUAUUUUACCUACGCUUAGGAUGUUGACACACGCGCGUGCUCG